rfam:Triticum urartu cultivar G1812 contig948862, whole genome shotgun sequence.
CAUCUACUCCCUCCGUUCUGAAUUAUUUGUCGUAGGUAUGGAUAUAUCUACGUGUAUUUUAGUUAUAGAUACAUCCAUUUCUACGACGAGUAAUUUAGAAAGGAGGGAGUACUUG